UACAGAGGUCCCAAGCGUUGUUCGGAUUCACUGGGCGUAAAGGGUGCGUAGGCGGUCGAGUAAGUCUGACGUGAAAUCUCCAAGCUCAACUUGGAAAUGGCGUCGGAUACUAUUCGGCUCGAGGAAUGGAGGGGAGACUGGAAUUCUCGGUGUAGCAGUGAAAUGCGUAGAUAUCGAGAGGAACACCAGUGGCGAAGGCGAGUCUCUGGACAUUUCCUGACGCUGAGGCACGAAAGCCAGGGGAGCAAACGGG
rnacentral:rRNA from 1 species